rnacentral:lncRNA from 10 species
UGCAAAUACUCUCACCAGGCCUUUUCUCUUCAUACGGAAUCAGCUUUCCUCCAAGACCAGAAUGCAGUUGGAGGUUUGAUCACGGCUCUGUAGAACAGUCCCCACUACCAGGCACUGAGACUGCAAAGUGGUCCCAGCCUGAAGCUUUGUUUCAGAGCUCUGGCUUACGUAGAGCUGUCUGAUCUUGCCUUCAAGGUGAACCUACAAACUACACUUUUGUAUUUCCAAAGCACUCAAGCUGCUGUUCCCUAAUUGAGGCACUGUGCACAGUUCAUCUUGUUUGGACUUAGAAACCUCAGUCUAGAAGAAACUAGCCCAAGGGAUACAGACGGGACGGAACAAUGGCCGGCAGCUCUCCCGGACUCCUGGCCACUCCCCAAAUGAGUCUAGAAGAUAAGCAACCAGAGUGAGGAACACAAUGACCCCCUUGACGGGCACGUGGUAAAUUCACAGCUCGUGUAGCUCUCGCUGAAGAGGACCUGCUCAUCAUUCAGCAAACACAGACAUGAAGUUCAGCAUCGGGCUCCCUGGUGUGUCUGACGGAUGGGACUUCCAAAGGCUGUAAAGGUCCUUGCUCAAGUCUCAGCAGUUGCCUGGAUGUAGCAGUUACACCAAGUACUUGAGUACCAGUAAAAUGGCAGUUACUCCACACUGUUCACUUGGAGAAUAACUGCCACUUCAUGCUUAUUGCUUAUUUAUUUCCUUCCUUCCUUCCUUCCUUCCUUCCUUCCUUCCUCUUUCUCUCUUUGACAGGGUCUCUCUCUGUUGCAGAAGCUGGAGUGCAGUGGCCCAAUCUCAGCUCACUGUGGCCUCGGCCUUCUGGGCUCAAGAAAUCCUCCCACCUCAGCCUCCCAAAGUGCUGGGAUUACAGGCAUGAGCUACCACAGCCUGCCUUGUUGGGUUUCUAGACAAGGUCCCUGAGACCCAGAAAGGUAAAGUGAUAUACAAAGUUCAAUAAUUACAUGUGGUGAAGCCAGCGUAGCAUCCACACCUCCUCCCUCCCCAUUUAAUGUCUUUUCACCAGAGAGCAUGUGUUAAUGAGGCUGUGGUUGUAGACUCUUAUAGGAACUGAAGACCUGUAAGACCCAUAUCCCAGUUAGCCAUCUUACAAACAGAAGCAUUCACUGAAUAUAUGUCCAGGCGAGAGAAUAGGUGGCUGUAAGAAAACUGACCCCAUUCUUUGAAACAAACACACGCAAGCUUCUUUCUCUAUCUAUCUACCUAUCUUCUAUUUCUCUAUUAUCUAUCUAUCUAUCUUUCUUUCUUUCUUCAUCACUAUAAUGCUCAAGAAUAUAUUUGCAGCAAAACCCAAUGCUAUUCUGAUCAAGAGCAAAGCCAUCAAUAGCUCUUGGUUGGAACUUGGGAAAAAACUGGGCAUAGAGAGCCUGGUGAAUACUUAUCCAGGUGAUACCAACUGUUGUAGGUCUCUUGAGUGUGGACCAUGUAUCUGAAGAAACAAUUGUUUAAAUGUUACUCAAAGGACCAAAAGGAUGGAUGUCCAAAGGGUGAGCAUUUGAUUUCUCCUCAUGUGUGGAACUUGCCUUUUAGUGACCUGGCUGAUGAGUGGCCAACGCUCUUCCUGUGCCAUUGUGUCCCACACAGCCAGAAUUUAAUCAUGCAGGAGCUGCUGGAAAGAUGCUCUAUGCAGAGAGAAAUUAAUGGAAUGAACUCAGGACAAAACCCUUGUCUCGGGUCUGCGUCAUUCUAAUAGCAGAACAAACUUCAUGCUGUCAGCAGCAAAAGAGAUGACUGGAAAUCACCUUUAGCUUUUCCAUCCAUUAUGACAGCAUGGGCAGAACGAGGAAGGAGGACAGCAAACAGGAUGAGAAACCACAGAUGAGGUGGCAGGCAGGAGGCAUGCGCUGUAUCCAUCCAAGGACAAAGAGAGGUGGCAGGAGCUAAGGGUAAGUAAGGAGGGCUUUUAAGCUCCAGGAAGCGAAAGACUGUUCUAAUCCAUGCUGAGCCAAUUUUCCUCCGUGCCCUCCAGACUCAGUCUCCACCCUUUUCCACUCUCCUGGUGUCCAGGGAGUGGGCCUGCCUGGACUGCAUCAGCAGAACCCCCUUGCCCUCUGGAGGGAGGAGGCGAGUCCGGAGGCUCCGCCACACCUUCCUUUCCUCUGUCCCCCCAACAUGGUUCCCUCCUUUUGACCCUUCGGACCUAGGCCAUCCUGGCACUCUGCUAUGACUAGCCCUGGUCUAUCUAAUUAGCCCUUUUCAUUUUCUACACUCCAUCCAUACUUUUCUAAAUAGUCCCGAUCUAAGUGUGGUGUCUUUCUCCUGUCAGACCCCAACGGAAACACCUGCUCACUCGGGUAGUAUCUUUUUCUCUGUUUGCAUUUGCAAGCAAGGACUGUUCUUGGGGAAGGAGAGGGAGGACAGAAGAGAGUCUCAUUCUGAUGUCCCACUGGCAAAGGGAAGAUCAUGCCUGUGGAGUGCAGAAGGGGCAAAUGGAUAGGAAAUAUUGGGUGGGCACAUUGGGGGUUUUAGCGUGUUAUGACGCAGCAUUGUUUUGCAAAGGCAGAGUUCUUUCCCAGCUGUUACAGCAGUUAUGCUCAGAGCAUUAUGGUAAUGACAGCUGACACAGUGAUUAUCGGCACGGUACAGCUGGAAAAACAUGGCAGAGGGGAGUGGGCAGAGGUAUCCAAACCUCAGGUACCUCAGGGGCAGACCCUAGAGGAAACCCGUGUCUCAUGGAAUGCUCACGUCUCCUUGACUGAGAGGGCCAGCCCGCCACCACUGUUCCUCCAAGGGGGAAACCUUCAGAAAUAGACUGGUAUUCAUGAAAAUCAAAGCUCUUUUUUUUUUUUUUUCUUUGAGAUGAAGUUUCACUCUUGUUGCCCAGGCUGGAGUGCAAUGGCGCAAUCUCGGCUCACCGCAACCUCCACCUUCCAGGUUCAAGUGAUUCUCCUGCCUCAGCCUCCCAAGCAGCUGGGAUUACAGGCAUGUGCCACCACACCGGGCUAAUUUGGUUUGUUUGUUUGUUUGUUUGUUUGUUUGUUUGUUUUUUGUAUUUUUAGUAGAGAUGGGGUUUCUCCAUGUUGGUUAGGCUGGUCUGGAACUCCCGACCUCAGGUGAUCCACCCGCCUCAGCCUCCCAAAGUGCUGGGAUUACAGGCGUUGAGCCACUGCACCCAGCCAAGCCUCCUUUUUAAAUUUUCUUUUUUUAGAGACAGAGUCUAGCUCUGUCGCUCAGGCUGGAGUGCAGUGGUACAAUCAUAGCUCACUGCAGCCUUGAACUCCUGGGCUGCAGUGGUCCUCCCGCCUCAGCCUCCUGAGUAGCUGGGACUACAGAUGCACCCUACUGCACCUGGCUCUCCUUUUUCAAAACUUAAUUUGUUGCUAUUUUUUUUUCCUAGAAAAUUUCAACUGUAGGGAUAAACACUAAUUUUUCUUUG